CUUGUACACACCGCCCGUCACACCAUGGGAGUGGGUUUCACCAGAAGUAGGUAGCCUAACCGCAAGGGGGGCGCUUACCACGGUGAGAUUCAUGACUGGGGUG
rnacentral:rRNA from 1 species